rnacentral:rRNA from 1 species
AGUGAACGCUGGCGGCAGGCCUAAUACAUGCAAGUCGAACGGCAGCACAGCAGAGCUUGCUCUGUGGGUGGCGAGUGGCGGACGGGUGAGGAAUACAUGGGAAUCUGCCCAGUCGUGGGGGAUAACGUAGGGAAACUUACCCGCUAAUACCGCAUGCGCCCUUCGGGGGAAAGCCGGGGACCUUCGGGCCUGGCGCGAUUGGAUGAGCCCAUGUCGGAUUAGCUAGUUGGCGGGGUAAUGGCCCACCAAGGCGACGAUCCGUAGCUGGUCUGAGAGGAUGAUCAGCCACACUGGAACUGAGACACGGUCCAGACUCCUACGGGAGGCAGCAGUAGGGAAUAUUGGACAAUGGGCGCAAGCCUGAUCCAGCCAUGCCGCGUGAGUGAAGAAGGCCCUCGGGUUGUAAAGCUCUUUUGUCCGGAAAGAAAAGCGCCGGGUUAAUACCCUGGUGUCCUGACGGUACCGGAAGAAUAAGCACCGGCUAACUUCGUG